rnacentral:rRNA from 1 species
UACGUAGGGGGCAAGCGUUGUCCGGAUUUAUUGGGCGUAAAGAGCUCGUAGGCGGUCUGUCACGUCUGCUGUGAAAACUCGGGGCUUAACCCCGGGCCUGCAGUGGGUACGGGCAGACUAGAGUGCGGUAGGGGAGACUGGAAUUCCUGGUGUAGCGGUGAAAUGCGCAGAUAUCAGGAGGAACACCGGUGGCGAAGGCGGGUCUCUGGGCCGUAACUGACGCUGAGGAGCGAAAGCGUGGGGAGCGAACAGG